GUACGGGGGGGGGCAAGCGUUGUUCGGAAUUACUGGGCGUAAAGGGUUCGUAGGUGGCCUGCUAAGUCAUACGUGAAAUCCCUCAGCUUAACUGGGGAACUGCGUGUGAUACUGGAUGGCUUGGAUUUGGGAGAGGGAUGCGGAAUUCCAGGUGUAGCGGUGAAAUGCGUAGAUAUCUGGAGGAACACCGGUGGCGAAGGCGGCAUCCUGGACCGGUAUUGACGCUGACGGCGGCGAAAAGCUG
rnacentral:rRNA from 1 species